rnacentral:rRNA from 1 species
UUAAAGUAGUAAGGGCGCAGGGUGGAUGCCUUGGCACUAAGAGCCGAUGAAAGACGUGAUAAGCUGCGAAAAGCUUCGGGGAGGAGCACAUAUCCAAUGAUCCGGAGAUAUCUGAAUGGGGAAACCCGGCAGAGGAAACCUCUGUCAGCGUGCAGUGAAUACAUAGCUGUACGUGGGGAACCCGGGGAACUGAAACAUCUAAGUACCCGGAGGAAGAGAAAGAAAAUUUAUCGAUUUCCAAAGUAGCGGCGAGCGAAAUGGAAAGAGCCCAAACCGUGAUGCGUGCAUCGCGGGGUUCGGACUGCGUUGUGGCAGACGUAAGAUAGGAGAACGGACUGGGAAGUCCGGCCGGAGAGAGUGAAAGCCUCGUAUCCGAAAUCCCAAGUCGCCUAGCAGGAUCCAGAGUAGGACGAGACACGAGAAACCUUGUCUGAACGAGCGGGGACCACCCCGUAAGGCUAAAUACUUCUUAGUGACCGAUAGCGCAUAGUACUGUGAAGGAAAGGUGAAAAGUACCCCGGGAGGGGAGUGAAAGAGAACCUGAAACCCUGUGUCUACAAGCUGUGGGACCUCUUUAUAUGAGGGACUGCGUACUUUUUGUAGAACGGUCCGGCGAGUUGUGCGUACUGGCGAGGUUAAGGACUUAAGGUCUGGAGCCGAAGUGAAAGCAAGCGUUAAUAGCGCGUCAAGUCAGUGAGUGCAGACCCGAAACCGGGUGACCUAUCCAUGUCCAGGUUGAAGCUUCCGUAAGAGGAAGUGGAGGACCGAACCCACAUCCGUUGAAAAGGGUGGGGAUGAGGUGUGGAUAGCGGAGAAAUUCCAAUCGAACCCGGAGAUAGCUGGUUCUCCUCGAAAUAGCUUUAGGGCUAGCCUCAUGAGAGUCUUAUGGAGGUAGAGCACUGAAUUGCCUAGGGGGCGUCAAAGCUUACCAAAGCAUAUCAAACUCCGAAUGCCAUCAAGAUGAUUCAUGGGAGUCAGACCAUACGAGAUAAGUUGGAUGGUCAAAAGGGAAAGAGCCCAGACCUACAGCUAAGGUCCCAAAGUGCGUGUUAAGUGGAAAAGGAUGUGGGGAUUCUAAGACAACUAGGACGUUGGCUUAGAAGCAGCCAUUCAUUGAAAGAGUGCGUAAUAGCUCACUAGUCGAGAGUCCCUGCGCCGAAAAUGUCCGGGGCUGAAACACGACACCGAAGCUUAGGAAUGUGUAAACAUUGGUAGAGGAGCAUUGCUGGCGGGAUGAAGCCAUACCGUAAGGAGUGGUGGACUGCCAGGAAGAGAGAAUGCCGGAAUGAGUAGCGAGAUGAAGGUGAGAAUCCUUCAGGCCGAAUAUCUAAGGUUUCCAGAGUAAAGCUGAUCUGCUCUGGGUAAGUCGGGACCUAAGGCGAGGUCGAAAGACGUAGUCGAUGGAUAACAGGUUGAAAUUCCUGUACCGCAUAUAAACAGAACUGUGGGGACACAGACAGGGAAUGGAAUCCGGGAAUGGAAAUCCCGGUGCAAGCGAGGUAGGAGUGCUGUUGGCAAAUCCGCAGCACGAUCUGAAGACGUGACGCGUACCGAACAUAAGUAGGGAAGUCCAGGCCCCUGGCUGUCAAGAAAAGCCGCUAUCGUUUUAUAUGUGCCCGUACCGCAAACCGACACAGGUGGAUGAGGAGAGAAUCCUAAGGCCGACGGGAGAAGUAUUGUUAAGGAACUCGGCAAAAUGACUCCGUAACUUCGGGAGAAGGAGUGCCAUGAGAGUGGCCGCAGAGAAAUGGCCCAAGCAACUGUUUAGCAAAAACACAGGUCUAUGCAAAACCGCAAGGUGAAGUAUAUGGGCUGACGCCUGCCCGGUGCUGGAAGGUUAAGGGGAGAGGUUAGCGCAAGCGAAGCUUUGAACUUAAGCCCCAGUAAACGGCGGCCGUAACUAUAACGGUCCUAAGGUAGCGAAAUUCCUUGUCGGGUAAGUUCCGACCC